ACCCCCAGCGAAAUCCUGGCACCCAGAGAGCACUCUUUUUCAGCCAGAGCCCAGAAACAGCCGUUGUCCCCUGGCAAAAGAGGCCCAGUGCUGAGCCCUGGGCAAGUGUCUCCAGACAUCCCUACCUUUUCUCCCUUUUAUUAGUUUUCUUUCCCAACAGAACCCAUUUACUUUGCCACUAAAACUAGGUUGCAUCCAAAAGUUUCUAAACAAGCUUAAAAAAGAAAAAUUGACACCAUUAUACAGAAGAAUUCACAAAAGCUGCAGAGCGCCAGGGCAGAGAAGCAGCGACAGACACAGGCCCAGGACACACAGGACGGAUGUUUCCAAGUCACUCGAGGGACACAUGCCUGUGUCUCAGAAGUUGCUUCCCUGCCUCUACUCUGUGAAUUUCCCAAACUCUCUAACUCUGAUUCAUCUUCAUUCACUCUUCCCUGUAGUUUGUGUGUAAAGAGCCCUUAAAGCAAUAUGGUGGAGGGUAAGAGUUGUGAGCCGGUGGCAGGCAAGGCCUAAACUUGGUACAGCAAAGGAAAUUUCGUGGUACUUGCUCCUGAGUCUGGGAAUCACAGGCUAGCCAGCCUCUCCCCUAUUACUAGGAAACAGUAGAACUUAGGGAAAUGGAUGAUUCCAUGUUUAAGAGGCCUGAAAUUGUAUACUUGGCAUUUCUGAUUUCAGUUCUAAAAUUCUGUCCCUUCGUCAUAGAGAAAAUGAGAAAUGUAGUUACAACUUUUCAUUACAAAAACGUUGCAUUAAGAGAAAUGGAGAAUCAUGCCCACAUAAAACAUGUAUAGAAGUGUUCAUGAUUUGAUCAGGGCUGGGGAUAUAGCUCAGACAUCCGGCGCUUGCACAGCAAUGUGCAUAACCCAAGGUUCAAGCCCCAGCACUGACAAAGAGAAGCAGAAGGAGCGGAGGUAUUCACAGCAGCCUUUUCAAUAUAGGCAUGAAAGGGAGAGUUUACAUGCCGGUUGAGGAAUGGAGAGUGUAAAAUGGCUUGUCUAUAAAACUGGAUUCUGGUCAUCAGUAGAGAGGUCUGAAGUGAUAGAUAUGGUGGAUGAGUCUUUAAACAUCUUCCUGAGUAAUGAAGCCAACCAGAAGAAAGGCAGAUACUCCGUAUCUCUGGAGUAUAUAGGUAAACCAUUAUAGAGAAAAAGCACCAUACUGGUUACCUGGACUUGGAGUGAUGAACAGACUUUGGGAGACAGCAGAGUGGAACAGAAUUUACUUGAGUGGUGAUAAAAAAAAAAGUUCUUGAAUUAACGGAAGUGAUGCUUGCUCCACUUGAUUGCUGCAUUUAAAAACCACUGAAUUUUACCUUUGGAUGGGUGAAUUCAUUGUAUUUCAAUAAAGCCAUGAAUAUAGAUCUGGA
rnacentral:lncRNA from 1 species